rnacentral:rRNA from 1 species
UACGUAGGGUCCGAGCGUUGUCCGGAAUCAUUGGGCGUAAAGCGCGCGUAGGCGGCCAGAUAAGUCCGGUGUGAAAGUCACAGGCUCAACCUGUGAAUGCCGCUGGAAACUGUCUGGCUUGAGUCCGGAAGGGGCGAGUGGAAUUCCUGGUGUAGCGGUGAAAUGCGCAGAUAUCAGGAGGAACACCAAUGGCGAAGGCAGCUCGCUGGAACGGUACUGACGCUGAGGCGCGAAAGCGUGGGGAGCGAACAGG